CAUGGCUCAGGAUGAACGCUAGCGACAGGCUUAACACAUGCAAGUCGAGGGGCAUCACGGGAGUAGCAAUACAACUGGUGGCGACCGGCGCACGGGUGAGUAACGCGUAUGCAACCUACCUAUCAGAGGGGAAUAACCCGGCGAAAGUCGGACUAAUACCGCAUAAAACAGGGGCACCGCAUGGUGAUAUUUGUUAAAGAAAUUCGCUGAUAGAUGGGCAUGCGUUCCAUUAGGUAGUUGGUGAGGUAACGGCUCACCAAGCCGACGAUGGAUAGGGGAACUGAGAGGUUGGUCCCCCACACUGGUACUGAGACACGGACCAGACUCCUACGGGAGGCAGCAGUGAGGAAUAUUGGUCAAUGGGCGGGAGCCUGAACCAGCCAAGUCGCGUGAAGGAAAAGAAGGAUCUAUGGUUCGUAAACUUCUUUUGCAGGGGAGUAAAGUGCAGGACGUGUCCUGUUUUGUAUGUACCCUGAGAAUAAGGAUCGGCUAACUCCGUGCCAGCAGCAGC
rnacentral:rRNA from 1 species